rnacentral:lncRNA from 1 species
UCCUCUGUGUGUCCCGCCUUGGGGAGGGGGCUAGGGGCCUGGAGGGUCUUGCCCUCUCAGAGCCCAAGUGGGGACAAAAGAAGGGGCACCCUUCCCGGAGGCGCGAAAUCCAAGGAGGAAGUGACACCUAUCAGCCAGCCUGAGAGUGGAGGCGCCCCAUCCGGCCCCUCCCACCCCACAGUCCCCGGAGCCACCACGCAAGGCAUCUUCAGGCCCCAGGCUCGGAUGGGAGAUCCCCAGGAUGCCAAGCGGAGGACAUGGGGGCGGAGGCCCAUUCAGGCCUUGGACUACCCGUCACCACAGCGCUGAGCUUUGCCCGCGUAAUUACAGGUUUGCAUGAUCGGUUCCGCCUCCUUUGGAUGGGUCUGGGAGCCUCACGAAGGCUACAACUUGCAGAACUCUGUACCACGUGGACUCCGCUCUUCACAAUUUAGCUGUGGUUACGCCCAUUUUGCAGAUAAGGAGUGAAGUAGCUGCUCCAAAUCUCCAGCAACCCGGAGGGUGCUUUCCUCUUUGGUUCCUUAGUGAGGCUGGCAGUUUGAUGAAUAAAUCAGCAUAGAAAUUAGUGUCCAAAGAGAGAUUAAAUUAGGAGUGCCUGUUGUGGCGCAGUGGAAACGAAUCUGGCUAGUAUCCAAGAGGAUGGCCCUGGCCUUGCUCAUUGCAUGAACUGUGGUGUGGGCGGCAGACUCAGCUCCGAUCUCACAUUGCUGUGGCUGUGGUGUAAACUGGCAGCCAUAGCUCCGAUUCAUAUUCAGCCCCCUAGCCUGGGAACUUCCCUAUGCAGCAGGUGCGGCCCUUCAAAAAAAAGAGACCAAAAAAAAAAAUGAGAUAUUAAAUUGUAAAAUAGGACCACGUAGUAAUUGUCUGUGUGUGUGUGUGUGUGUGUGUGUGUGUUUUCCAGGAGGUCAGCAAGGUAGAAGGAUACCAAAGCUUAGAAUUAACACUGUGGGUAGACCUAGCCUGGGUUAAAGAGCUCAGUGUCAGCCACACCUCCUAACUUGAACCAAUUUAGUAAGUUAUAAUUAUUCACAGAUGCAGAGGUGAUACACAAAAGGGCCUCUUUCAUCCUUGCCUUUUGAUUGUUCUAGGUGUCCAGUUAUAUUUCUCAUUAUCAUCCUGACUCUAGCAGGGGUACUGCUGCAGGCUUUGGGGUUACAACCGUUUAGCUGAGGGUACGUACGGACAGCCAUCAACAAUGACGAUAAUUCCGGGCAUUUGGAGAAUGCACUUUGCUUCUCCAAAUGUCUGCCUGAGUAUCUCCUCUUAAAU